AGAUGAAACAUGUGCCUUGAGUGCUCGAAAUUUCAGUUGUGCAUGAUUACUUCCAUUGAUGUUCUAAGUUAACUAGUUCCUAAAAUCAUUGCAGCUCUAUCCUGCUCAAAUGGAAGAACAGCUUCACUUGACAUGGUGCAAACCAAGUUCAGAUUGUCCCAAGGAUUAAGGAAUUGGACCAUCAAAUUCUGAUCUCAGGUGGUUGCUGUUUGUUUGGCUCUCGCAAAGGCUGGUAACUUUGCCCUAUAUUGAGAACAAACUCCAUCUGCAUCUUGGAUAAGCCAUUUAGUCAAGCAUGCAUGGUUUCUAGGAAACAAACCUUCUAUUAUCUGCGAGCUAUAUGAAGAACCUCCUGUCAGAUAU